GACAAACGCUGGCGGCGUGCAUAAAACAUGCAAGUCGGACGAGCCAAUCCCCGCAAGGGGAAAGGCUAGUGGCGAACGGCUGAGUAACACGUAGGUGAUCUGCCCUGAAGUGGGGGAUAACGACUCGAAAGAGUCGCUAAUACCGCAUGUGACCACCGAUCCGUUUUCGGUGCUCAAAGUCGUAAGACGCUUUAGGAGGAGCCUGCGGCGGAUUAGCUAGUUGGUGAGGUAAUGGCCUACCAAGGCGACGAUGCGUAGCUGGUCUGAGAGGACGAUCAGCCACACUGGGACUGAGACACGGCCCAGACUCCUACGGGAGGCAGCAGUGGGGAAUCUUGCACAAUGCACGAAAUUGUGAUGCAGCAACGCCGCGUGCGGGAAGACGGCCUCGG
rnacentral:rRNA from 1 species